GCAAAGGCCGAUGAAUAAAUACAAUAAUGCAGCCCAGAGGCUCCGUGCACAGGAAACCUGAAUACCAUGAAUUAAAUAUUUUCGUUUUAAAAGAAUUCUUGAUAAUAACUUGUUAGUUAUUAGAACAAGAGUAGGAGGGCUCAGACUUCUAAAUAAUUAUCUCUAUAAGUCACUGUUUUCUCUGUAAGAUGAGACCAUUUUGCCUGCCUACUGGCCCUCCUUCAGCCUCUACCUGGUUACACUUCUCCCCUUCCGAGCUCAACCACGUAGCUGACAGAUGGAACAUCAUGGCCACCACACUCCCCAGAGCUGUCUCCAUCCCAGUGGGCCGCCUCCUCUUCCCUGCCAGCUCUCCUGGCAGCUCUCAGGCCUCCGUCCAUGGCUGCAGUGCUGACACUCCUCCCCAUGCAGCUGCCUGAGGCUGAAUCUUUUUAAAAGUUUGCAGUCUAGAAUAUUUUCCUGAGAUCCAAAUCUGCAAAUCCACUUGGGUGAUUCCAAGGCAACUCAAAGUCAAUGUUUUGGAAACCAGCCUCAGGCAGCCUCCCCAGUCCUGCUCUUCCCCUAGUACUCCUGGACGGAAGCCCAAGACUCACCCUCAACUCCCACGUGGACACAUGGGGCCUGGUCUCCUGAGCAGCAUGGCGCCUGUAAACGUACCCCCAAUCACCUCUCACAUCUGUUCUCUUCUCUCCACCCCCACUGCCAUGCCCCAUCCAGGACAGGCUGAUGGCAAUAAACUGAUAAUCGAACAAAUGGAAAUCACUCAAGCCCCUCCCCAACAUUCCCCCACAUUAGUGGCAAGCUCAUCUUCAAAAACCAUAGUAGCUUCCCGUAAUCCUCCGGGAUACAUUCUGAGACCCCCCCAGUGAAUGCCUGAGGUCGCAAAGAGUACCGAACCCUACGUAUACUGUACAUGAAUUUCUUUUUCCUUCUUCACAAUAUCACGGGUAGAUUUGUUCUGACCAUAGAUCUUAGCAACCUCAGGAUACGAUCUUUUCUCUUUCCUUAUUGGGUUAAGAACUUUCAGCUUUUCACUUAAAGGAAGCACUAUAUUGCUUCUCUACGGCAUAUCUGAAUGACCAGCAUCAUUACUCCCAUGCUUUGGGGCCAUUAUGAAGUAAAAUAGGGGUGACUUGAACACAGGCACUGGGGUAACACGAGAAGUUCAUCUGGUCACCAAAUCAGCUUCUAAGUGGCUUGCGGGCAGGGAGCAGCAACAGCAUGAAAACACUGGAUGAAGGCACGUCCCAGGUGUGACCAUGUGAGAAUCCAGAUUUCAUCAUGCUACUCAAAACAGUGCACAAUUUAAAACUUAUUAAUUACGUAUUUCUGGAAUUUUCCAUUGAGUAUUUUCUAACUGCGGUUGACUGCAGAUAACUGAAACCAUGGAAAGCGAAGCCGUGAAGAGGGAGGGACUCCUGUUCUGCUGCUGUUCCCUUAUUUGAGACCUAUCCUGUCUGGUGUAAUGAAGCUAGAAGCGUCCACACUGCUGUAACACAGCUUACAGAAGAAGGCUCCCUUGGCUCGCCCCUGCGUCAUACUGGGCUUCUAUUACAGCAUGAAAGGAGUGUGUUCUCUGUCUCUCCAGGCUCCAGGAGCACUGUGUGUUCCAUCUGGAACUCUGACCGUCCAAACACACCCCUCUCACUCCUUUGUCUGGUAAGUUCCUAUUGCAGAUCUCUGUCUCUGGGAGACUUCCAACUGGGAAUCUCCCACUGAGGCCACACCUCUAGAUUAGGUUAGUGGCCCCUGACUCAACGCUGCUCUAGCAUUCUGCCAUGAGAAACCUCACUCUGCUGCAGCUUUAUCUUCUAAAUGACAUGCUGAGAACACCCACGAAACUGCAUUACCAGCUAAUCAGCUCCAGCUUCUUCAGAUAGGCUUCUGCUUGUGACUCCAUGAUCUGUAGCUUAUACACUUCACUCUCCUUCCAGUUUUCAAGUACGGAUACCUGCCAGUAGAUUAGAGGACAUAUGAGUAUUUUACAAAUGACAGCCCGAAACUAUUUUAAAGGUUAAAACUUAAACAUUCAAACCACUUUCCCAUUUCUCCUUAAAUGAAGCAUGAUGAUAGAAUCACCAGAACUUGAUUAUAUCAUAGGUGAACAUGAAUUAGACUUUGAGAUUUGAAAACAGAACAAAAUGACAUUACAAAUGCAUACCUUCCACGAUCCUUUUUGCAGAUAUGAAUAACUGUACAUGGCUUUCUGCUUAAGCUAUAUAUAAGCACAGAGCCAGGUUAACUGCAUGUGCACACCAGUGUGUAUUAUCUAUGGUCCUGCAGCAGAAUAACCCUUAAUAAAGGCUGCAUCCUCUGCAAUUUUAGAAAAGCCUCAGAGAAGCUGUUCACAGCAAGGACAUCAAAAGCCUUCGGGGUAUGCUUUUAAGAUUCUAGACUCUCUGUGGCUUCCCCACAAGCCAACUGGCCAUUUUUGUGAGAAUCACUGCAGGAAAUGUAGAAUGGCCUUGUGGUCCAAAUGAUUCAUUAAAUAGCCUUUUAAUCCAGGUGUCAGUAAACUUGACAGGGCCCACCAGGCAAACCUGCUUACCAAACGGUGGUGUGAAUUAAACAAGCUCAGGAAUACGGAUGCCGGUGUAGGACCCACAAAGUAUUCAUACUUUGGCUCUUUUUUCCUUUCCUGUCCUUAGAAGCAGGUACAUAGUCAAUUCUUAAUUGAAAAGCCUAAUGUUUGCAGACUGUAUAAACUCAGCCUUUUCUUAUUUUACCAGAAUAAUCACAGACACAUAUGCCAAUAAAUAUCAUUUGUUUCUCAGCUAGAGAAACAUAGAGAAUCAUGUUUCGGGAACUAAAUAAAAUACAGCCAGACGUCAUAAUUUUG